rnacentral:rRNA from 1 species
GACGAACGCUGGCGGCGUGCUUAACACAUGCAAGUCGAACGGAAAGGCCCUGCUUUUGUGGGGUGCUCGAGUGGCGAACGGGUGAGUAACACGUGAGUAACCUGCCCUUGACUUUGGGAUAACUUCAGGAAACUGGGGCUAAUACCGGAUAGGAGCUCCUGCUGCAUGGUGGGGGUUGGAAAGUUUCGGCGGUUGGGGAUGGACUCGCGGCUUAUCAGCUUGUUGGUGGGGUAGUGGCUUACCAAGGCUUUGACGGGUAGCCGGCCUGAGAGGGUGACCGGGAGCGAGAGGACGGGGACGCGGGGUAGACAGCGGAGGGGGGGAGGGGUGGGGGAGGAGGCACGGUGGACGGAAGCCGCGGGCAGGACCGCAGGGUGGGGGGUGGCGGUCUGCGGGUUGUCACCCGGUGUCGGGUGGGAAGGGGUGGAAGGGAGGGUAAUGGGGAAAGGAGCCGCAGAAAACUACGCGCCAGCGGCCGCGAUAAGAGGCGGAAGAGAAGACGUCUGAAC